rnacentral:rRNA from 1 species
GUGCCAGCCGCCGCGGUAAUACGUAGGUGGCAAGCGUUAUCCGGAAUUAUUGGGCGUAAAGCGCGCGUAGGCGGUUUUUUAAGUCUGAUGCGAAAGCCCACGGCUCAACCGUGGAGGGUCAUUGGAAACUGGAAAACUUGAGUGCAGAAGAGGAAAGUGGAAUUNCCAUGUGUAGCGGUGAAAUGCGCAGAGAUAUGGAGGAACACCAGUGGCGAAGGCGACUUUCUGGUCUGUAACUGACGCUGAUGUGCGAAAGCGUGGGGAUCAA